UAGGGAGAGAAAGAGAGAGAGACAGGUAGAUAGAGAGAUAGAUGGAUGGGAUAGGGAGAGAAAGAGAGAGAGACAGGUAGAUAGAGAGAUAGAUGGAUGGGAUAGGGAGAGAAAGAGAGAGAGACAGGUAGAUAGAGAGAUAGAUGGAUGGGAUAGGGAGAGAAAGAGAGAGAGACAGGUAGAUAGAGAGAUAGAUGGAUGGGAUAGGGAGAGAAAGAGAGAGAGACAGGUAGAUAGAGAGAUAGAUGGAUGGGAUAGGGAGAGAAAGAGAGAGAGACAGGUAGAUAGAGAGAUAGAUGGAUGGGAUAGGGAGAGAAAGAGAGAGAGACAGGUAGAUAGAGAGAUAGAUGGAUGGGAUAGGGAGAGAAAGAGAGAGAGACAGGUAGAUAGAGAGAUAGAUGGAUGGGAUAGGGAGAGAAAGAGAGAGACAGGUAAAUAGAGAAAGAGAG